GUAAUCACUUGCCUUUUAAUUGGAGGCUAGAAUGAAAGUACUGACGGGGGGCCGCUGACUUGACCUUGCCAUUCGAACUUGACCGCGGGGUUAAAAUGCCCCGACGCUCUAGAAGGACGACAAGACCCUAUAAAACUUUACUACCCUCAGUUACUAUCCUAAGUCCACUCGUGAAACUGAACGUAGUUAGGCUGGGGCGGCCAACCCUCUCCGGGAUCGCGACCUAACACCGUGCGUGAUCCCUCGAACAUGAUUGAACAGGAAGACCAAGUUACUUUAGGGAUAACAGCGCAAUAGCUUCGGAGAGCCCCCAUCGAUGAAGGCGUUUGCGACCUCGAUGUUGAAUUGGAGCCCUCCCCGGAGCAACCCCCGGGGGAAGGAGGUCUGUUCGACCUUUGAUUCUCCACGUGAU
rnacentral:rRNA from 1 species